GGGAUGUAGUUUAUCGACAGCACCGAUUCUAGUAUUGACUGGUACUUUGAUUUAUCGACCAGAAAGGAUAAACAGCAAAAUUGAUCUCGAGAAAAGUUGAACUAAGAACCUAAUGACGACGCCCUGGACACUACAAUAGGCCUGUUUCGAUUCAAGUGCAGUUUAGUCCAUAAAUGACGUGUCAGGUGGGCUGUCUGAAGGCAGUAAAAGUUUCUUCGAAGUGAUUAACUCGUAGUUGGGCAGACGCGCGCACACAAACACGUAUCGCAUAUCUACCUCUGUUAAUAUUUAUUUAUAGAGAAAGACAAAGAGAUCGAUAUAUAUCGGCAUUUAUACACAGGGAUAAAUGAAUUCUGAAAAAAGUAUGAUCAAGCGAAACGGAGCUGCAAUCCGGAAUCUACUGAUUGCCGUAACCUUGGUGUCUUUAAUGUAUUUUGUCUAUAUGUAUCAUGACAUCCAGUCCCGCCUUCGACAUUCCGAUAUUGUUAGUGAGAAGUUUAAAAGAGACAGAGAAUCGUUAUCGUCCCAACUCAACGAAAUAAACUUAGAAAAAACAAAUCUAAAAGAAAAAUUUUAUAAAGAUAGACAAGAACUAGCUGCCAGAUUUGCAGAAGCUCAAGAAAAGCAUAAAAUGUUACAAAGUCAACAUCAAGAUUUAGAGAAUGAGUACAAUAGACUACAACAAAAAUAUGAAAAAUUCUCUGAAGACAAAAGACAAAAAGAUAUGAACAGCAAUCAGGAAUAUAUGCAGUUAAAGCAAGAAAAAGAAAUGGAGAUUGUUAAACUCAAAGAUGAGAAUGCUAACAUUGUGCGAGAGUACAAACAAUUGAAACUGGAGUUAAUUGAAUUGAAGAAGCAAGUUGAACAACAACAGGAUGAUGACAAUGCUGAUGCCAAUCAGCCAAAUGAGGACAAAGAGAUUCUCCACAUGCUUAGCAACCGAAGACAUGGCAAUAACAAAAUACCUCCUGACUUCGACCUCAACAAUGGCCUGAAUAAUGAGGGAAACCAACCACUGGAGAGGGUCAAUGUUGAAGACAAUCUUGCUGGACGUGAGCUUCCCAAUGACCACCACGGAGUCAUAGAAAACAAAUUACCUCCAGAUUUCUUUAAGGGUGACUUGAAUAAUGAAAACAAACUGGAGAAGGACAAUGCCUUUGAACAUGACCUUCAGUUGGAUGGUAGAGAAGUUCAGGGUGACAGAUGGCGAAAUCAAUAGAAUGAAGGGUGAUGUACCUCGAGGUCCAGCUUCCAAAGAAUAUGGAAAACAAGAAAUUAGAAUCAAAAUAUGAUAAUCAAUUAUACAAUGAAGAAGAAGAAGAUGAUAAUUAUCAAUGAACAAUUUCAUUCAUAGCGAUCAGUCAUUAACUGUUAAGGACCUCGUUAAAGUUCCUGCAAAAGAUUCGCCUAAAUUUUCCACAUGAGUUUUCAUCAAUAUAAAUGGAAGAGAAAAGAAUAUUUUUUUCAGGUUUAUUAACCUCAACAUUUCUGUGGUUCUGUGGUAAUGAUGGUGGCUAUGUGGGUAGGACUUUUUUUUUUUGUGAAACACAAAUUUUCAAAUGGUUUAAU